UCCAUUUUCAGAUAAAUAGAUGUGUGUAUCAUGACAUUAUCAUAUGUGUAUCAUGAUCUUAUCAGGGCUGGAGUUGUUGCGAAAUUAAUGGAUUUGAGAGCAGCAACAAAGCUGGUAUUGGAUGGUGGACUUUGCAAUUCCCACACUAAUUCCUACGGCAAAAACAUUAGAUCAACCGGCAAGGGCUCCGCAAAGUGGGCACUCCCCUUGCUCGACGACCCGGCACAACUCCCAGGUUCGAAACCCCCUACAAAGUUACAGUGGUGAUGCCCCAUUUUUAGAGCACGCACAUGUGCCGGGAAUUGAACUCAUGCCCGGGCAGGAACCUCCGAAGAGUAAACCUUCCCACCUCCCCCUUGACCACCGGAACAAAGGCUCAUUAUUUAUUUUUUGAUAAUUUUUUUUAGUCUUGGAGAACAUAAUUACUAUGCUAGACCUAAUUCAAAAAAACUUAUUACUUUGCGUUGCGAUAUACACUAUGAUCGUGACCCGUUUGUUCCCUAGAUUAUGUUAUGUUAUCAAACCGAGAAUGAUUCGGUUUAGCGCGCCGCAACGCGCGCGGGUAUUAAACCUAGUUGAAUUGAUAAGACAACGUUGAUUUAUACCGAUACGUCUCAUCAAAUCACACCGUUCAAAUAAUAUUCUAUUGAACUAAUAAGAAUGUUUGACGGUGAGAACUCCGACGAACUAAGUUGGGAAAAUCAUUCUGGUUCAAUGAAUCAGGGUUUACGUCACACUCCGGCGAACUAAGUUCAUUGCAUCAGAAGACAUGAGUGUAGGUUCCGGCAAUCUACGAUUUGGUGAUGCAAAUUGAAGAGAUGGAUCUUAGCUUUUAGUUACAACAGUAAAGGCAAAAAAUGAACAGAAAAAUUGACGUGAAGGUUGAUGUUGCUGGCGUUGGUGAGGCCAAAGAGGACAUGAAGAAAUUGUAAUACAUACCCGAGUUCGGGUCAAGGAUAAGCUGGAUGGCUCUUCCACCAUCGAGUUGCUUGAUGUGAGAAUCAUAUCAUGUCAUAUGAAAUGCUGUCAAGAUGUCCAUUUUUAUAACAAAAAGAAAAAGGGGGUUGAUGGUUUUAGCUAAAUGAAGAUAUUUGCAAGUUUCAAGAAACAUUAAUAUCUGUUAUAUGGAGAAGGUAGCAUUGGAUUAGUGGGACUGGUCUCACAAGCUGUUCAUGAGGAUGGUCGCCAAGGAGUAUGUUUUCUUGUUUUGUUUCCUCAUUUAGUUCCCAAUACAUUUUUCCACUAAAAUUAGACGUCGUUUAUUUUAUGAAUAUGUCGAUACGGGUUAUGUAAUUUUCAAGUUAGAGGUAAUGGGUGGGUCAAAAAGAAUCCGGGUCAAAACAACGAUUUUUUAGCAUGAAUCAAAACAGGUCAACCUUUUUGGGAGUUUUAUAAAGCACACAAAUUUCUAAAUUAUGAUUAUGAAAGUUAUAUAAUUACAAUGAUUUAGCUUUAGAUGAUUCAAAGACCUGAAUGACAUGUACUUGGUUUUAAUGAAAAAUAAUUCGUUUGGUAAGUGUGAAAAAAGAUGUCAUUUUAAAAUUAUGGUAUAUUUUAAUGCAAUUUGUGGUUCGCUAAUAAAGACAUCCAUGGGUGCUUAUUAAUGCAUUAUAACCUAGGUUUAAUCUUUUACACAAACUGAACUGGUCACUAAAUCUGGUUCAUUAGUCUAUGAUUUCUCUUCUUUAGAGAAUGAUUUUUCGGCUUAUUAGUUGUUCAUUAUUAUUAUCUUGUUGAAUCUUAAUCUCAAAACAUUUUCGAUAGCAGAGGCGUUGAUCAGAGGACUUCCUUUCCGAUCAUCCUCGAUGACUAUUUAGUGCCCAAAGUUUUAACAUCAUCGUGUAUGUAGUUUGUCGAGUAUGAUUGAUUACCUACAAUUUUUAUUUUUUGAGCUUGGAAAAAGGCUUUUGUAUAUGACAAACUGUAAGUUUGUGGUCAUGUAUUAAUUAGGGUGUUUUAGAACUUUAAAAAGUUUUUAAGUUUGUGGUCAUGUAUCAAACUUCUUAAAAACU